CCCCUAGUAACUGCGAGUGAAGCGGGAAAAGCUCAAAUUUAAAAUCUGGCGGUCUAUGGCCGUCCGAGUUGUAGUCUGGAGAAGUGCUUUCUGCGUUGGACCGUGUACAAGUCUCUUGGAACAGAGCGUCAUAGAGGGUGAGAAUCCCGUCUUUGACACGGACUACCAGUGCUUUGUGAUGCGCUCUCAAAGAGUCGAGUUGUUUGGGAAUGCAGCUCAAAAUGGGUGGUAAAUUCCAUCUAAGGCUAAAUAUUGGCGAGAGACCGAUAGCGAACAAGUACCGUGAGGGAAAGAUGAAAAGCACUUUGGAAAGAGAGUUAAACAGUACGUGAAAUUGCUGAAAGGGAAACGCUUGAAGUCAGUCACGUCGGCCAGGACUCAGCCUUGCUUUUUUGCUCGUGCAUUUCUGGUGAUGGGUCAGCAUCAAUUUGAUGCUGGAAAAAGGCAGGGGGAAUGUGGCACAUUCGGGUGUGUUAUAGCCCUCUGUUGCAUACAGCAGUUGGGAUUGAGGAUCGCAGCACGCCUUUAUGGCCGGGGUUCGCCCACGUUCGUGCUUAGGAUGCUGGCAUAAUGGCUUUAAACGACCCGUCUUGAAACACGGACCAAGGAGUCUAACAUGCCUGCGAGUGUUUGGGUGGAAAACCCGAGCGCGUAAUGAAAGUGAAAGUUGGGAUCUCUGUCAUGGAGAGCACCGACGCCCGGACCUGAUCCUCGGUGAUGGCUCCGCGGUAGAGCAUGUAUGUUGGGACCCGAAAGAUGGUGAACUAUGCCUGAAUAGGGUGAAGCCAGAGGAAACUCUGGUGGAGGCUCGUAGCGAUUCUGACGUGCAAAUCGAUCGUCAAAUUUGGGUAUAGGGGCGAAAGACUAAUCGAACCAUC
rnacentral:rRNA from 1 species